GAUGAACGCUGGCGGCGUGCCUAAUACAUGCAAGUCGAGCGAACGGACGAGAAGCUUGCUUCUCUGAUGUUAGCGGCGGACGGGUGAGUAACACGUGGAUAACCUACCUAUAAGACUGGGAUAACUUCGGGAAACCGGAGCUAAUACCGGAUAAUAUUUUGAACCGCAUGGUUCAAAAGUGAAAGACGGUCUUGCUGUCACUUAUAGAUGGAUCCGCGCUGCAUUAGCUAGUUGGUAAGGUGACGGCUUACCAAGGCAACGAUGCAUAGCCGACCUGAGAGGGUGAUCGGCCACACUGGAACUGAGACACGGUCCAGACUCCUACGGGAGGCAGCAGUAGGGAAUCUUCCGCAAUGGGCGAAAGCCUGACGGAGCAACGCCGCGUGAGUGAUGAAGGUCUUCGGAUCGUAAAACUCUGUUAUUAGGGAAGAACAUAUGUGUAAGUAACUGUGCACAUCUUGACGGUACCUAAUCAGAAAGCCACGGCUAACUACGUGCCAGCAGCCGCGGUAAUACGUAGGUGGCAAGCGUUAUCCGGAAUUAUUGGGCGUAAAGCGCGCGUAGGCGGUUUUUUAAGUCUGAUGUGAAAGCCCACGGCUCAACCGUGGAGGGUCAUUGGAAACUGGAAAACUUGAGUGCAGAAGAGGAAAGUGGAAUUCCAUGUGUAGCGGUGAAAUGCGCAGAGAUAUGGAGGAACACCAGUGGCGAAGGCGACUUUCUGGUCUGUAACUGACGCUGAUGUGCGAAAGCGUGGGGAUCAAACAGGAUUAGAUACCCUGGUAGUCCACGCCGUAAACGAUGAGUGCUAAGUGUUAGGGGGUUUCCGCCCCUUAGUGCUGCAGCUAACGCAUUAAGCACUCCGCCUGGGGAGUACGACCGCAAGGUUGAAACUCAAAGGAAUUGACGGGGACCCGCACAAGCGGUGGAGCAUGUGGUUUAAUUCGAAGCAACGCGAAGAACCUUACCAAAUCUUGACAUCCUUUGACAACUCUAGAGAUAGAGCUUUCCCCUUCGGGGGACAAAGUGACAGGUGGUGCAUGGUUGUCGUCAGCUCGUGUCGUGAGAUGUUGGGUUAAGUCCCGCAACGAGCGCAACCCUUAAGCUUAGUUGCCAUCAUUAAGUUGGGCACUCUAAGUUGACUGCCGGUGACAAACCGGAGGAAGGUGGGGAUGACGUCAAAUCAUCAUGCCCCUUAUGAUUUGGGCUACACACGUGCUACAAUGGACAAUACAAAGGGCAGCGAAACCGUGAGGUCAAGCAAAUCCCAUAAAGUUGUUCUCAGUUCGGAUUGUAGUCUGCAACUCGACUACAUGAAGCUGGAAUCGCUAGUAAUCGUAGAUCAGCAUGCUACGGUGAAUACGUUCCCGGGUCU
rnacentral:rRNA from 1 species